rnacentral:rRNA from 1 species
UACAGAGGGUGCGAGCGUUGUCCGGAAUCACUGGGCUUAAAGGGCGCGUAGGCGGACACUCAAGUCGGUGGUGAAAUCCUCCGGCUCAGCCGGAGAAGAGCUGUCGAUACUGGGUGUCUCGAGGGGUGUAGGGGUCUGUGGAACUUUGGGUGGAGCGGUGAAAUGCGUAGAGAUCCAAAGGAACGCCGGUGGCGAAAGCGACGGACUGGACACCUUCUGACGCUGAGGCGCGAAAGCCAGGGGAGCAAACGGG